UACGUAGGGGGCGAGCGUUGUCCGGAAUUACUGGGCGUAAAGAGAGCGUAGGCGGCACUACAAGUCUCAUGUGAAAUACCCGGGCUUAACUUGGGGGUUGCAUGGGAAACUGUAGGGCUUGAGUACAGGAGAGGCAAGCGGAAUUCCUAGUGUAGCGGUGAAAUGCAUAGAUAUUAGGAGGAACACCAGUGGCGAAGGCGGCUUGCUGGACUGAAACUGACGCUGAGGCUCGAAAGCGUGGGGAGCAAACAGG
rnacentral:rRNA from 1 species